GACGAACGCUGGCGGCGUGCUUAACACAUGCAAGUCGAACGGAAAGGCCCUGCUUUUGUUGGUUGCUCGAGUGGCGAACGGGUGUGUAACACGUGAGUAACCUGCCCUUGACUUUGGGAUAACUUCAGGAAACUGGGGCUCAUACCGGAUAGGAGCUCCUGCUGCAUGGUGGGGGUUGGAAAGUUUCGGCGGUUGGGGAUGGACUCGCGGCUUAUCAGCUUGUUGGUGGGGUAGUGGCUUACCAAGGGUUUGACGGGUAGCCGGCCUGAGAGGGUGACCGGCGACAUGGGGACUGAGAGACGGACCAGAAUCCUACGGGAGGCAGCAGGGGGGAAUAUUGCACAAUGGGCGGAAGCCUGAUGCAGCAACGCCGCGUGCGGGAUGACGGCCUUCGGGGUGUAAACCGCUUUCGCCGGUGACGAAGCGUGAGUGACGGUAAUGGGUAAAGAAGCAACGGCUAACUACGUG
rnacentral:rRNA from 1 species